CUUUAAAAAAUGCAUUUAAAAGAAGCCAAAACUAAAAACUAUCAUUAGUUUGAACUAAAAAACCUUUUCCGUUUUACCUCGAAAUUUGGUUAAUAUACGGCCGAGUUGUUAAAAUUUCCACGAAAACUAUACUGAAAAGCUUAAAAAUGUCGUUAUUUUGAAGAGGUGAACAGUUUUUUUUUUUAUUUUGAUGCAGAUCUUUUAUUGAAACACUCGUCUAUAGGGUUAUUUGAUGUUAGAAGUGUUCCAGCUAAAAAAUAAAAAUAAAAUAAUGCGAAUUUCAGAAGGAUUUUCAAUGUGCUUCAGCUUACGAUUAGUGCCGAAUUGAAACAAAAUAUUUUAUUCGGAGCUAAAAUUCCACAUUUUAUUAUCUGCUUGGAAAAGCGGCAAAUUUUCGUCAUGCGGCACCCUAGUGUAGACCCUAGAUUUCUUUUAUAUUUUGCAGACACAUUUACGGGCUGUCCUGAAUGCAAUCAACGAUGGGUGCAACGUUACACACUACUCCCAUUGGAGUUUAAUCGAUAAUUUCGAGUGGAAUAAGGGAUUUACUGAAAAGUUUGGUCUCUAUUACCUGAACAUGACAAGUGAGAAUAAAGAACGUGUUGCCAAAAAUUCGGCGCAUUACUACAGGAGUGUCAUUGAAAGUCGGGAAAUAUCAUCAGGCGACAAUUACGUGUGAAAAGCUGGUGCUACAUGAAUAUUUAUUUAUACAAAAGCAAUAUUUAAAUUACAUAUGCACAUAUGUUUGUACAUAUAUGCAAGCACAUGGAUACGAUUAUUGAAAACUAAGUGGCGCUUUGUUAUUUGAUUAUAAAUAAAUAUGUACCUUUUUGCAUACAUAUGUUUGUAUGUAUGUAUGUACAUACACAUAUUCGUGGACGAAAGUAGUCAAAUUUAGUCGUUAGUAAAGUCAAAUCUAAUUUAGUGGGGCGUAUUUGAAGUAAACUGCAAGGUGAUAAAGUGAAAAAAUAAGUUCUUUAAUACAGAUGGAUAUGUAUGUAAGUAUGUAUGUACGUAUAUCUACAUGGCUACAUAUCUAAAUGUUAAAUAAAGUUACUGACUGAGUUUGAAA